ensembl:snRNA U6 U6 spliceosomal RNA
GUGCUCACUUUGGCAGCACAUAUACUAAAAUUUGAAUGUUACAGAGAUUAUCAUGGUCCCUGCUCAAGUAUGACACGCAAAUUAAUAAAGCAUUCCAAAAAUUA